rnacentral:rRNA from 1 species
GACGAACGCUGGCGGCGUGCUUAACACAUGCAAGUCGAACGGAAAGGCCCUGCUUUUGUGGGGUGCUCGAGUGGCGAACGGGUGAGUAACACGUGAGUAACCUGCCCUUGACUUUGGGAUAACUUCAGGAAACUGGGGCUAAUACCGGAUAGGAGCUCCUGCUGCAUGGUGGGGGUUGGAAAGUUUCGGCGGUUGGGGAUGGACUCGCGGCUUAUCAGCUUGUUGGUGGGGUCGUGGCUUACCAAGGCUUUGACGGGUAGCCGGCCUGGGAGGGUGACCGGCCACAUUGGGACUGAGAUACGGCCCAGACUCCUACGGGAGGCAGCAGUGGGGAAUAUUGCACAAUGGGCGGAAGCCUGAUGCAGCAACGCCGCGUGCGGGAUGACGGCCUUCGGGUUGUAAACCGCUUUCGCCUGUGACGAAGCGUGAGUGACGGUAAUGGGUAAAGAAGCACCGGCUAACUACGUG